rnacentral:rRNA from 1 species
CAGUAGCCGCGGUAAUACGGAGGAUCCAAGCGUUAUCCGGAAUCAUUGGGUUUAAAGGGUCCGUAGGCGGUCUUGUAAGUCAGUGGUGAAAGCCCAUCGCUCAACGGUGGAACGGCCAUUGAUACUGCAGGACUUGAAUUAUUGGGAAGUAACUAGAAUAUGUAGUGUAGCGGUGAAAUGCUUAGAGAUUACAUGGAAUACCAAUUGCGAAGGCAGGUUACUACCAAUUGAUUGACGCUGAUGGACGAAAGCGUGGGUAGCGAACAGGAUUAGAUACCCCAGUAGUCCAUGUCUCUUAUAC